rnacentral:rRNA from 1 species
GAGUGAAGCGGCAACAGCUCAGAUUUGAAAUCUCUUUAUUUUAUAAAGCGAAUUGUAAUCUGUAGAAGGUUGAAUGGCCGAUUUAUUCUGAUUUAAGUUCCCUGGAAUAGGACAUCAUAGAGGGUGAGAAUCCCGUGAUUAUCAGAAAUUAGGCCUUAAAGAUUCACCUUUCGACGAGUCGAGUUGUUUGGGAAUGCAGCUCUAAAUGGGUGGUAAAUUUCAUCUAAAGCUAAAUACCUGCCAAAGACCGAUAGCGAACAAGUAGAGUGAUCGAAAGAUGAAAAGCACUUUGAAAAGAGAGUUAAAAAGUACGUGAAAUUGCUGAAAGGGAAGCGCUUGCCAUUAGACUUGAUAUUUUUCUUGAUUCAGCCUGCUCAUGGGCAGGUGUAUUUUCUCGAUAUCAGGCCAGCAUCAGUUUUGGGGGUUGUAUAAAAGUUGAAGGAAUGUAGUAAUUGCUUCGGCAGUCAUGUUAUAGCCUUUUUCAUCAUACAUCCACCCUGGACUGAGGUCUGCUC